AGCAGCCGCGGUAAUUCCAGCUCCAAUAGCGUAUAUUAAAGUUGUUGCAGUUAAAAAGCUUGUAGUUGAAUUUCGGGGUUAGUAGGUUGGUCAUGCCUCUGGUAUGUACUGGUCCCACUGAUUCCUCCUUCCUGAUGAACCUUAAUGCCAUUAAUUUGGUGUUUUGGGGAAUUUGGACUGUUACUUUGAAAAAAUUAGAGUGUUUAAAGCAAGCUAACGCUUGAAUACAUUAGCAUGGAAUAAUGAAAUAGGACGUUCGAUCCUAUUUUGUUGGUUUCUAGGAUUGACGUAAUGAUUAAUAGGGAUAGUUGGGGGCAUUAGUAUUCAAUUGUCGGAGGUGAAAUUCUUGGAUUUAUUGAAGACUAACUACUGCGAAAGCAUUUGCCAAGGAUGUUUUCAUUAAUCAAGAACGAAAGUUAGGGGAUCGAAGACGAUCAGAUACCGUCGUAGUCUUAACCAUAAACUAUGCCGACUAGGGAUCGGAUGAUGUUAAUUUUUUAAUGACUCAUUCGGCGCCUUACG
rnacentral:rRNA from 1 species